rnacentral:rRNA from 1 species
ACGUAGGAUGCAAGCGUUGUCCGGAUUUAUUGGGCGUAAAGAGUUCGUAGGCGGUUUGUUAAGUCUGACGUUAAAGAUCAGGGCUCAACCCUGGGAUUGCUUCGGAUACUGGCAGACUGGAGUAUGGUAGAGGUAAGUGGAAUUUCUGGUGUAGCGGUGAAAUGCGUAGAUAUCAGGAAGAACACCGGUGGCGUAGGCGACUUACUGGGCCAUAACUGACGCUGAGGAACGAAAGCCAGGGGAGCGAAUGGG